rnacentral:rRNA from 1 species
CAGCCGCCGCGGUAAGAUAGAGGAUGCAAGUGUUAUCCGGAAUGAUUGGGCGUAAAGCGUCUGUAGGUGGCUUUUCAAGUCCGCUGCCAAUCCCAGGGCUCAACCCUAGAUAGGUCGUGGAAACUACCAAGCUAGAGUAUGGUAGGGGUAGAGGGAAUUUCCAGUGGAGCAGUGAAAUGCAUUGAUAUCGGAAAGAACACUAAUGGUGAAAGCACUCUACUGGGCCGACACUGACACUGAGAGACGAAAGUUAGGGGAGCAAAUGGGAUUAGAUACCCCUGUAGUCCCUGUCUCUUAUACA